UACGAAGGGUGCAAGCGUUACUCGGAAUUACUGGGCGUAAAGCGUGCGUAGGUGGUUCGUUAAGUCUGAUGUGAAAGCCCUGGGCUCAACCUGGGAAUUGCAUUGGAUACUGGCGGGCUAGAGUACGGUAGAGGGUAGUGGAAUUCCUGGUGUAGCAGUGAAAUGCGUAGAGAUGUGGAGGAAUACCGAUGGCGAAGGCAGCCUCCUGGGCCAACACUGACGCUCAUGCACGAAAGCGUGGGGAGCAAACAGG
rnacentral:rRNA from 1 species